GGUUGCGAUCAUACCAGCACUAAUGCACCGGAUCCCAUCAGAACUCCGCAGUUAAGCGUGCUUGGGCGAGAGUAGUACUAGGAUGGGUGACCCCCUGGGAAGUCCUCGUGUUGCAACCCCCUUUUUUUUCGUUUUUUGGUUUAUUUUAUUUACCGGUCGAUGUUUCUUUGGCGUAGCAUGCGGGUGGCCGUUGAUGUGGGGAACGGGGCUACGGGGUGCCCGGAGGCGCGCUUUCGAUUAAACACGGUUUACCGUGCCGAAGGCUCGUCGGCGCGGGAGACGGAUAUGGGGAGACGGGCCCGCUCGUAGGCGUUGGACUGACGUGCCCUCAGUUUAUCGGAAAGCGUGAGAGCUUAUUGACGGGAGUGGCCGCUUUUGUCAAAGGAAGGCCAUGACGAAGGCGCGCGCGCGCACGGCGGGCCCGAGACGCGUAACGUAGGCCACACAUGAGAGCAUAGGUGGGCAUGGGAUCAAGGCGUGGAAAGGUAUAAAGGAAUAAGGAGCUUGUAUUCUUUCGGUUGCGAUCAUACCAGCACUAAUGCACCGGAUCCCAUCAGAACUCCGCAGUUAAGCGUGCUUGGGCGAGAGUAGUACUAGGAUGGGUGACCCCCUGGGAAGUCCUCGUGUUGCAACCCCCUUUUUUUUCGUUUUUUGGUUUAUUUUAUUUACCGGUCGAUGUUUCUUUGGCGUAGCAUGCGGGUGGCCGUUGAUGUGGGGAACGGGGCUACGGGGUGCCCGGAGGCGCGCUUUCGAUUAAACACGGUUUACCGUGCCGAAGGCUCGUCGGCGCGGGAGACGGAUAUGGGGAGACGGGCCCGCUCGUAGGCGUUGGACUGACGUGCCCUCAGUUUAUCGGAAAGCGUGAGAGCUUACUGACGGGAGUGGCCGCUUUUGUCAAAGGAAGGCCAUGACGAAGGCGCGCGCGCGCACGGCGGGCCCGAGACGCGUAACGUAGGCCACACAUGAGAGCAUAGGUGGGCAUGGGAUCAAGGCGUGGAAAGGUAUAAAGGAAUAAGGAGCUUGUAUUCUUUCGGUUGCGAUCAUACCAGCACUAAUGCACCGGAUCCCAUCAGAACUCCGCAGUUAAGCGUGCUUGGGCGAGAGUAGUACUAGGAUGGGUGACCCCCUGGGAAGUCCUCGUGUUGCAACCCCCUUUUUUUUCGUUUUUUGGUUUAUUUUAUUUACCGGUCGAUGUUUCUUUGGCGUAGCAUGCGGGUGGCCGUUGAUGUGGGGAACGGGGCUACGGGGUGCCCGGAGGCGCGCUUUCGAUUAAACACGGUUUACCGUGCCGAAGGCUCGUCGGCGCGGGAGACGGAUAUGGGGAGACGGGCCCGCUCGUAGGCGUUGGACUGACGUGCCCUCAGUUUAUCGGAAAGCGUGAGAGCUUAUUGACGGGAGUGGCCGCUUUUGUCAAAGGAAGGCCAUGACGAAGGCGCGCGCGCGCACGGCGGGCCCGAGACGCGUAACGUAGGCCACACAUGAGAGCAUAGGUGGGCAUGGGAUCAAGGCGUGGAAAGGUAUAAAGGAAUAAGGAGCUUGUAUUCUUUCGGUUGCGAUCAUACCAGCACUAAUGCACCGGAUCCCAUCAGAACUCCGCAGUUAAGCGUGCUUGGGCGAGAGUAGUACUAGGAUGGGUGACCCCCUGGGAAGUCCUCGUGUUGCAACCCCCUUUUUUUUCGUUUUUUGGUUUAUUUUAUUUACCGGUCGAUGUUUCUUUGGCGUAGCAUGCGGGUGGCCGUUGAUGUGGGGAACGGGGCUACGGGGUGCCCGGAGGCGCGCUUUCGAUUAAACACGGUUUACCGUGCCGAAGGCUCGUCGGCGCGGGAGACGGAUAUGGGGAGACGGGCCCGCUCGUAGGCGUUGGACUGACGUGCCCUCAGUUUAUCGGAAAGCGUGAGAGCUUAUUGACGGGAGUGGCCGCUUUUGUCAAAGGAAGGCCAUGACGAAGGCGCGCGCGCGCACGGCGGGCCCGAGACGCGUAACGUAGGCCACACAUGAGAGCAUAGGUGGGCAUGGGAUCAAGGCGUGGAAAGGUAUAAAGGAAUAAGGAGCUUGUAUUCUUUCGGUUGCGAUCAUACCAGCACUAAUGCACCGGAUCCCAUCAGAACUCCGCAGUUAAGCGUGCUUGGGCGAGAGUAGUACUAGGAUGGGUGACCCCCUGGGAAGUCCUCGUGUUGCAACCCCCUUUUUUUUCGUUUUUUGGUUUAUUUUAUUUACCGGUCGAUGUUUCUUUGGCGUAGCAUGCGGGUGGCCGUUGAUGUGGGGAACGGGGCUACGGGGUGCCCGGAGGCGCGCUUUCGAUUAAACACGGUUUACCGUGCCGAAGGCUCGUCGGCGCGGGAGACGGAUAUGGGGAGACGGGCCCGCUCGUAGGCGUUGGACUGACGUGCCCUCAGUUUAUCGGAAAGCGUGAGAGCUUAUUGACGGGAGUGGCCGCUUUUGUCAAAGGAAGGCCAUGACGAAGGCGCGCGCGCGCACGGCGGGCCCGAGACGCGUAACGUAGGCCACACAUGAGAGCAUAGGUGGGCAUGGGAUCAAGGCGUGGAAAGGUAUAAAGGAAUAAGGAGCUUGUAUUCUUUCGGUUGCGAUCAUACCAGCACUAAUGCACCGGAUCCCAUCAGAACUCCGCAGUUAAGCGUGCUUGGGCGAGAGUAGUACUAGGAUGGGUGACCCCCUGGGAAGUCCUCGUGUUGCAACCCCCUUUUUUUUCGUUUUUUGGUUUAUUUUAUUUACCGGUCGAUGUUUCUUUGGCGUAGCAUGCGGGUGGCCGUUGAUGUGGGGAACGGGGCUACGGGGUGCCCGGAGGCGCGCUUUCGAUUAAACACGGUUUACCGUGCCGAAGGCUCGUCGGCGCGGGAGACGGAUAUGGGGAGACGGGCCCGCUCGUAGGCGUUGGACUGACGUGCCCUCAGUUUAUCGGAAAGCGUGAGAGCUUAUUGACGGGAGUGGCCGCUUUUGUCAAAGGAAGGCCAUGACGAAGGCGCGCGCGCGCACGGCGGGCCCGAGACGCGUAACGUAGGCCACACAUGAGAGCAUAGGUGGGCAUGGGAUCAAGGCGUGGAAAGGUAUAAAGGAAUAAGGAGCUUGUAUUCUUUCGGUUGCGAUCAUACCAGCACUAAUGCACCGGAUCCCAUCAGAACUCCGCAGUUAAGCGUGCUUGGGCGAGAGUAGUACUAGGAUGGGUGACCCCCUGGGAAGUCCUCGUGUUGCAACCCCCUUUUUUUUCGUUUUUUGGUUUAUUUUAUUUACCGGUCGAUGUUUCUUUGGCGUAGCAUGCGGGUGGCCGUUGAUGUGGGGAACGGGGCUACGGGGUGCCCGGAGGCGCGCUUUCGAUUAAACACGGUUUACCGUGCCGAAGGCUCGUCGGCGCGGGAGACGGAUAUGGGGAGACGGGCCCGCUCGUAGGCGUUGGACUGACGUGCCCUCAGUUUAUCGGAAAGCGUGAGAGCUUAUUGACGGGAGUGGCCGCUUUUGUCAAAGGAAGGCCAUGACGAAGGCGCGCGCGCGCACGGCGGGCCCGAGACGCGUAACGUAGGCCACACAUGAGAGCAUAGGUGGGCAUGGGAUCAAGGCGUGGAAAGGUAUAAAGGAAUAAGGAGCUUGUAUUCUUUCGGUUGCGAUCAUACCAGCACUAAUGCACCGGAUCCCAUCAGAACUCCGCAGUUAAGCGUGCUUGGGCGAGAGUAGUACUAGGAUGGGUGACCCCCUGGGAAGUCCUCGUGUUGCAACCCCCUUUUUUUUCGUUUUUUGGUUUAUUUUAUUUACCGGUCGAUGUUUCUUUGGCGUAGCAUGCGGGUGGCCGUUGAUGUGGGGAACGGGGCUACGGGGUGCCCGGAGGCGCGCUUUCGAUUAAACACGGUUUACCGUGCCGAAGGCUCGUCGGCGCGGGAGACGGAUAUGGGGAGACGGGCCCGCUCGUAGGCGUUGGACUGACGUGCCCUCAGUUUAUCGGAAAGCGUGAGAGCUUAUUGACGGGAGUGGCCGCUUUUGUCAAAGGAAGGCCAUGACGAAGGCGCGCGCGCGCACGGCGGGCCCGAGACGCGUAACGUAGGCCACACAUGAGAGCAUAGGUGGGCAUGGGAUCAAGGCGUGGAAAGGUAUAAAGGAAUAAGGAGCUUGUAUUCUUUCGGUUGCGAUCAUACCAGCACUAAUGCACCGGAUCCCAUCAGAACUCCGCAGUUAAGCGUGCUUGGGCGAGAGUAGUACUAGGAUGGGUGACCCCCUGGGAAGUCCUCGUGUUGCAACCCCCUUUUUUUUCGUUUUUUGGUUUAUUUUAUUUACCGGUCGAUGUUUCUUUGGCGUAGCAUGCGGGUGGCCGUUGAUGUGGGGAACGGGGCUACGGGGUGCCCGGAGGCGCGCUUUCGAUUAAACACGGUUUACCGUGCCGAAGGCUCGUCGGCGCGGGAGACGGAUAUGGGGAGACGGGCCCGCUCGUAGGCGUUGGACUGACGUGCCCUCAGUUUAUCGGAAAGCGUGAGAGCUUAUUGACGGGAGUGGCCGCUUUUGUCAAAGGAAGGCCAUGACGAAGGCGCGCGCGCGCACGGCGGGCCCGAGACGCGUAACGUAGGCCACACAUGAGAGCAUAGGUGGGCAUGGGAUCAAGGCGUGGAAAGGUAUAAAGGAAUAAGGAGCUUGUAUUCUUUCGGUUGCGAUCAUACCAGCACUAAUGCACCGGAUCCCAUCAGAACUCCGCAGUUAAGCGUGCUUGGGCGAGAGUAGUACUAGGAUGGGUGACCCCCUGGGAAGUCCUCGUGUUGCAACCCCCUUUUUUUUCGUUUUUUGGUUUAUUUUAUUUACCGGUCGAUGUUUCUUUGGCGUAGCAUGCGGGUGGCCGUUGAUGUGGGGAACGGGGCUACGGGGUGCCCGGAGGCGCGCUUUCGAUUAAACACGGUUUACCGUGCCGAAGGCUCGUCGGCGCGGGAGACGGAUAUGGGGAGACGGGCCCGCUCGUAGGCGUUGGACUGACGUGCCCUCAGUUUAUCGGAAAGCGUGAGAGCUUAUUGACGGGAGUGGCCGCUUUUGUCAAAGGAAGGCCAUGACGAAGGCGCGCGCGCGCACGGCGGGCCCGAGACGCGUAACGUAGGCCACACAUGAGAGCAUAGGUGGGCAUGGGAUCAAGGCGUGGAAAGGUAUAAAGGAAUAAGGAGCUUGUAUUCUUUCGGUUGCGAUCAUACCAGCACUAAUGCACCGGAUCCCAUCAGAACUCCGCAGUUAAGCGUGCUUGGGCGAGAGUAGUACUAGGAUGGGUGACCCCCUGGGAAGUCCUCGUGUUGCAACCCCCUUUUUUUCGUUUUUUGGUUUAUUUUAUUUACCGGUCGAUGUUUCUUUGGCGUAGCAUGCGGGUGGCCGUUGAUGUGGGGAACGGGGCUACGGGGUGCCCGGAGGCGCGCUUUCGAUUAAACACGGUUUACCGUGCCGAAGGCUCGUCGGCGCGGGAGACGGAUAUGGGGAGACGGGCCCGCUCGUAGGCGUUGGACUGACGUGCCCUCAGUUUAUCGGAAAGCGUGAGAGCUUAUUGACGGGAGUGGCCGCUUUUGUCAAAGGAAGGCCAUGACGAAGGCGCGCGCGCGCACGGCGGGCCCGAGACGCGUAACGUAGGCCACACAUGAGAGCAUAGGUGGGCAUGGGAUCAAGGCGUGGAAAGGUAUAAAGGAAUAAGGAGCUUGUAUUCUUUCGGUUGCGAUCAUACCAGCACUAAUGCACCGGAUCCCAUCAGAACUCCGCAGUUAAGCGUGCUUGGGCGAGAGUAGUACUAGGAUGGGUGACCCCCUGGGAAGUCCUCGUGUUGCAACCCCCUUUUUUUUCGUUUUUUGGUUUAUUUUAUUUACCGGUCGAUGUUUCUUUGGCGUAGCAUGCGGGUGGCCGUUGAUGUGGGGAACGGGGCUACGGGGUGCCCGGAGGCGCGCUUUCGAUUAAACACGGUUUACCGUGCCGAAGGCUCGUCGGCGCGGGAGACGGAUAUGGGGAGACGGGCCCGCUCGUAGGCGUUGGACUGACGUGCCCUCAGUUUAUCGGAAAGCGUGAGAGCUUAUUGACGGGAGUGGCCGCUUUUGUCAAAGGAAGGCCAUGACGAAGGCGCGCGCGCGCACGGCGGGCCCGAGACGCGUAACGUAGGCCACACAUGAGAGCAUAGGUGGGCAUGGGAUCAAGGCGUGGAAAGGUAUAAAGGAAUAAGGAGCUUGUAUUCUUUCGGUUGCGAUCAUACCAGCACUAAUGCACCGGAUCCCAUCAGAACUCCGCAGUUAAGCGUGCUUGGGCGAGAGUAGUACUAGGAUGGGUGACCCCCUGGGAAGUCCUCGUGUUGCAACCCCCUUUUUUUUCGUUUUUUGGUUUAUUUUAUUUACCGGUCGAUGUUUCUUUGGCGUAGCAUGCGGGUGGCCGUUGAUGUGGGGAACGGGGCUACGGGGUGCCCGGAGGCGCGCUUUCGAUUAAACACGGUUUACCGUGCCGAAGGCUCGUCGGCGCGGGAGACGGAUAUGGGGAGACGGGCCCGCUCGUAGGCGUUGGACUGACGUGCCCUCAGUUUAUCGGAAAGCGUGAGAGCUUAUUGACGGGAGUGGCCGCUUUUGUCAAAGGAAGGCCAUGACGAAGGCGCGCGCGCACGGCGGGCCCGAGACGCGUAACGUAGGCCACACAUGAGAGCAUAGGUGGGCAUGGGAUCAAGGCGUGGAAAGGUAUAAAGGAAUAAGGAGCUUGUAUUCUUUCGGUUGCGAUCAUACCAGCACUAAUGCACCGGAUCCCAUCAGAACUCCGCAGUUAAGCGUGCUUGGGCGAGAGUAGUACUAGGAUGGGUGACCCCCUGGGAAGUCCUCGUGUUGCAACCCCC
rnacentral:lncRNA from 1 species